rnacentral:rRNA from 1 species
UGGGGAAUAUUGGACAAUGGGCGAAAGCCUGAUCCAGCCAUGCCGCGUGUGUGAAGAAGGUCUUCGGAUUGUAAAGCACUUUAAGUUGGGAGGAAGGGCAGUAAGCGAAUACCUUGCUGUUUUGACGUUACCGACAGAAUAAGCACCGGCUAACUCUGUGCCAGCAGCCGCGGUAAUACAGAGGGUGCAAGCGUUAAUCGGAAUUACUGGGCGUAAAGCGCGCGUAGGUGGUUCGUUAAGUUGAAUGUGAAAGCCCCGGGCUCAACCUAGGAACUACAUCAAAAACUGGCGAGCUAGAGUAGGGCAGAGGGUGGUGGAAUUUCCUGUGUAGCGGUGGAAUGCGUAGAUAUAGGAAGGAUCACCAGUGGCGAAGGCGACCACCUGGGCUCAUACUGACACAGAGGUGCGAAAGCGUGGGGAGCAAACAGG